rnacentral:rRNA from 1 species
UACAGAGGUCCCAAGCGUUGUUCGGAUUCACUGGGCGUAAAGGGUGCGUAGGUGGUGGGGUAAGUCGGAUGUGAAAUCUCCGAGCUCAACUCGGAAAUUGCAUUGGAAACUACCCCGCUUGAGGGUCGGAGGGGGGACUGGAAUUCUCGGUGUAGCAGUGAAAUGCGUAGAUAUCGAGAGGAACACCAGUGGCGAAGGCGGGUCUCUGGGCCGUAACUGACGCUGAGGAGCGAAAGCAUGGGGAGCGAACAGG